CGACGUGGGCGGUUCGCCGCCGAUGACGUCGCGAGAAGUCCACUGAACCUUAUCAUUUAGAGGAAGGAGAAGUCGUAACAAGGUUUCCGUAGGUGAACCUGCGGAAGGAUCAUUGUCGAAUCCUGCCUAGCAGAAUGACCAGAGAA
rnacentral:rRNA from 1 species